rnacentral:lncRNA from 1 species
UUUGAUAUCAUGCACUUGAUCACCCACUGUUUUACCUUCACUGGCAAUUUGGCAAAACCAAAACAUUAAUGAUGAUUCACAUACAACAACAGUCUUGAUUCACUUACAAAAGCUAAAGGGAAAAAAACUAAUCAAUCAAACAACCAUAAAACAUUCAUUCAUGCUGCAGUUGGCUCACAACAACAGUCUUGAUUACCAAAACGAAUCCAAAAGUCACCACAAAAUAUUUUCAGCAAGAAUGUAAGCCAUACUACAACAACUUACUACACCCAUUUCAGCCAACAUAGAAACUAAGGUACUUUAAACAUCUAGAUACUAUGAUAAAAUUGACACUUGUGUACUGUUGUAGUUUUCCACCUCCUUGAACUGCCUUCAGUCUUGUUGCCUUCAGUCUUGCUGCCUUCAGUCUUUUGUGUAACAACUGAUUGCCUGACAUAAAAUAUGAUCUAUCAGCCAUAAAGUGACAACUGCCUCCAGAGUGAUAGCUAAAGUGAUAAAGUGAUAACAGUUGUGCUUCAAUAUGUGCUGAAACA